CUGGCUCAGAUUGAACGCUGGCGGCAUGCUUUACACAUGCAAGUCGAACGGCAGCGGGGGCUUCGGCCUGCCGGCGAGUGGCGAACGGGUGAGUAAUGCAUCGGAACGUGCCCAUGUCGUGGGGGAUAACGUAGCGAAAGCUACGCUAAUACCGCAUACGCCCUGAGGGGGAAAGCGGGGGAUUCUUCGGAACCUCGCGCGAUUGGAGCGGCCGAUGUCGGAUUAGCUAGUAGGUGAGGUAAAGGCUCACCUAGGCGACGAUCCGUAGCGGGUCUGAGAGGAUGAUCCGCCACACUGGGACUGAGACACGGCCCAGACUCCUACGGGAGGCAGCAGUGGGGAAUUUUGGACAAUGGGCGCAAGCCUGAUCCAGCCAUGCCGCGUGAGUGAAGAAGGCCUUCGGGUUGUAAAGCUCUUUCGGCCGGGAAGAAAUCGUGGU
rnacentral:rRNA from 1 species